ensembl:lncRNA
UUGUGCAGACGGCCAGGGAGGAACUCGCCAUUUGAGUGGCCAGAACGGAACCUGCCAUUCGGGGAGCCAGUGAGGAGCAGGCUGUGGCGAUGGCCAGGGAGGAACCCGCCCCUUGAGCGACCAGAGUGGAACCUGCCCUUCUGGAGGCCCUGCGAAGACGUGAAGGUGUUCUGGACGGCCUGUGGAGACGUGAGGCGCCUCGGCUUCGGGCAACGCCUCUGGAUCGGCCUCGGUCACGGCAUCGGGCAACGCCUCGGGAACGACCUCGGGCUCGGGAACGACCUCGGGAUCGGGCACCGCCUCGGCCUCCAGAACGGCAUCGGGCACAGCCUCGGGCACCGCUUCGGCAUCGGGCACAGCAUCGGGUACCGCCUCGGCCUCCGGAACGCAUCGGGCACCACAUCGGCAUCGGGCACCGCCUCGACCUCCGGAACAGCCUCGGUCACCGCCUCGGCAUCGGGCACAGCCUCGGCCUCCGGAACAGCAUCGGGCACUGCCUCGGCAUCGGGCACAGCCUCGGCAUCGGGCACAGCCUCGGCAUCGGGCACCGCCUCGACCUCCGGAACAGCAUCGGGCACCGCCUCGGCAUCGGGACCAACAUCGGGCACCUCCGGAACAGCAUCGGGCACCGCCUCGGCUUCAGACAAAGCCUCGGGCACCGCCUCGGCAUCGGGAACGACCUCGGGAUCGGGCACCGCCUCGGCCUCCGGAACAGCAUCGGGUACCACAUCGGCAUCGGGCACCGCCUCGACCUCCGGAACAGCAUCGGGCACCACCUCGGCAUCGGGAACAGCAUCGGGCACCGCCUCGACCUCCGGAACAGCAUCGGGCACCGCCUCGACCUCCGGAACGGCCUCGGGCACCGCCUCGGCAUCGGGCACAGCAUCGGCAUCGGGCACCGCCUCGACCUCCGGAACAGCAUCGGGCACCGCCGGCAUCGGGACCAACAUCGGGCACCGCCGGCAUCGGGCACCGCCUCGACCUCCGGAACAGCAUCGGGCACCGUCUCGGCUUCGGACAAAGCCUCGGGCACCGCCCGGCAUCGGGAACGACCUCGGGAUCGGGCACCGCCGGCCUCCAGAACGGCAUCGGGCACGGCAUCGGGCACAGAAUCGGGCACAGCCUCGGCCUCCGGAACAGCAUCGGGCACAGCCUCGGCCUCCGGAACAGCAUCGGGCACUGCCUCGGCAUCGGGCACAGCCUCGGCCUCCGGAACAGCAUCGGGCACCGCCUCGACCUCCGGAACAGCAUCGGGCACCGCCUCGGCAUCGGGACCAACAUCGGGCACCGCCUCGGCCUCCAGAACGGCAUCGGGCACGGCAUCGGGCACAGCAUCGGGCACCGCCUCGACCUCCGGAACAGCAUCGGGCACAGCCUCGGCCUCCGGAACAGCAUCGGGCACUGCCUCGGCAUCGGGCACCGCCUCGACCUCCGGAACAGCAUCGGGCACCACAUCGGCAACCGCCUCGGCAUCGGGCACCGCCUCGGCAUCGGACAAAGCCUCGGCCUCCGGAACAGCAUCGGGCACCACCUCGGCAUCGGGAACAGCUUCGGGCACCGCCUCUGCAUCGGGCACCGCAUCGGGCACCGCCUCUGGGAUGGCAGCGGCCUGCUCGGGAACGACCUCCUGGAUGGCGGCGGCCUGCUCGGGAACAUCCUCCUGGACGGCGGCGGCCUGCUUGGGAACGUCCUCUGGGCUUUGAGGAACGGUAG